rnacentral:ncRNA from 2 species
AACGUGCAUGACGGGUGCUCAGCCAGUUGACGCUGGUUGGGCUGAGAUCAGACCGUUCGAACCUGAAUCAGGGCAAUGCCUGCGCAGGGACAUGCUUCUUCUCGCGC